rnacentral:rRNA from 1 species
AACGAACGCUGGCGGCAGGCCUAACACAUGCAAGUCGAGCGAACCCUUCGGGGUUAGCGGCGGACGGGUUAGUAACGCGUGGGAAUAUACCCUUUGGUACGGAAUAGCCUCGGGAAACUGAGAGUAAUACCGUAUGUGCCCUUCGGGGGAAAGAUUUAUCGCCAAAGGAUUAGCCCGCGUUGGAUUAGAUAGUUGGUGGGGUAAUGGCCUACCAAGUCUACGAUCCAUAGCUGGUUUGAGAGGAUGAUCAGCAACACUGGGACUGAGACACGGCCCAGACUCCUACGGGAGGCAGCAGUGGGGAAUCUUAGACAAUGGGCGCAAGCCUGAUCUAGCCAUGCCGCGUGGACGAUGAAGGCCUUAGGGUUGUAAAGUCCUUUCAGAUGGGAAGAUAAUGACGGUACCAUCAGAAGAAGCCCCGGCUAAACUCCGUG